rnacentral:rRNA from 1 species
UACGAAGGGGGCUAGCGUUGCUCGGAAUCACUGGGCGUAAAGCGCACGUAGGCGGCUUUUUAAGUCAGGGGUGAAAUCCUGGAGCUCAACUCCAGAACUGCCUUUGAUGCUGAGAAGCUUGAGUCCGGGAGAGGUGAGUGGAACUGCGAGUGUAGAGGUGAAAUUCGUAGAUAUUCGCAAGAACACCAGUGGCGAAGGCGGCUCACUGGCCCGGUACUGACGCUGAGGUGCGAAAGCGUGGGGAGCAAACAGG